rnacentral:rRNA from 1 species
GACGAACGCUGGCGGCGCGCUUAACACAUGCAAGUCGAACGGAAAGGCCUGCUUUCCCUUGUGGAUUGCGGGUACUCGAGUGGCGAACGGGUGAGUAACACGUGAGUGAUCUGCCCCCAACUUGGGUAUAAGCCUGGGACACUGGGUCUAAUUCCCGAUAGGACUGCAGGGUGGUGCCUGUGGUGGAAAACGAUUUUCUAGUGGCUGGGGAUGAGCUCGCGGCCUAUCGGCUCGGUGGUGGGGUAAUGGCCUACCAAGGCGGCGACGGGUAGCCGGCCUGGGACAGUGGGCGGGAAGAGUGGAACAGCGAUACGGCCCAGACUGCGACGGGAGGCAGCAGUGGGGAAGAUGGAGCAGUGGGCGGAAGCCUGAUGCAGCGACGCGGCGUAGGGGAUGACGGCCUUCGGAUGGUAAACUCCUUUCGGCCACGAGGAAGCCACCUGGUUGGAGGGGUAGUGACGGUAGUGGUAGAAGAAGCACCGGCUAACUACGUG